AUGAAGAGAAUCGUCGUCCACAUCCUGCUGGUGAUGUCGCUCGGGGCGGCCCUCGUCAUCGCCGGCCGCCCCGCCGGUACCUCCGGCGACGUGGCCGCCAUUCGCCUUCCGAGCGACGGCCAAGGUCUUGGUUCCAUGAAGAAGGUCCUCGAGGAGGGCGAGAGGCCGUGGGCAUGCUGCGACCACACCCAGUGCCUGAGGGUGCUCCCGAGAGCCUGCCUCUGCCACGACACGGUGGCGCAGUGCGCCAGCGCGUGCCAGCACUGCGACGAGGUCAGCCAUGGCCGCUACGUUUGCCUGGAUUUGUACGAAGGUUGGCCCGGCCCAAAGUGCACGCACGAGGUGGACGUCGCCGCCGUCGGCAACUAG
rnacentral:rRNA from 1 species